AGGUUUGCCCAGACAGUGCUGCAGGCUGAGAGAUCUCAUGAUUUGAAGGUAAUGUCUCAUUUUUAUAAUCAGAUGUUUGACUUCGCUGUUCGUCCAUGGAUCCUCAUUUGGAUCACUCAGAUGCUUUUGCUAACGGUGACAUUGUCAGCACAGUGGUUAAUGUAAGACAGUGCAGAUGAAGUGUCCACCUCUAGGUCCGUCUCAUGGACAAUUAUAUUUAAUUCUGUAUGUUCAAAACAUAAGUUUUAGUGCUAGCUUAGCGUUAGCAUGUGGCAGCAUGUAUACUGCCAUGACAACAGUGACUGUAUGUUCCCUAGGCGAGUGAAACGAUCAGAAAUGAAGCAUUAAAUAUUCCAUAUGGCGAGCAGAAUGUACGAGUGUUCAUGUUGGUGCAUCAUGUUUCAUUAAUGUAAACACAGAGCUCUGUCGGCACGAUGAAGUGAGCGGCCUGCUGGCUCCACUGUGGUAUUCAGUAUGUUGUGGUUCAGCCAUGUCUCCAUAAAAAUCUAAAUACAGCCUCGUUUAUGGUCCUCUGUGUAGCGAUGGUCAGUCUGAGCUUUUGUUAGCGACUGAUCUUACAUUAUUUAUUUAUUUAUUUAUUUAUUUAUUUAUUUAUUUAUGCCCAGGCAGUGUAAUAACCCAGUAACCCAGAAUGACAAAGUACUUUCCUCUCUCUCUCUCUCUCUCUCUCCUGCAGACUCUGUAAUUAAAAUCACGUUUAGUAUUUAAUAAAUUGUACAGUUGAGUUUUGUAUUAUAACCCUAAUGGUUAUGUUUUUUUAGUUCUGACCCAGUCAUAUGAGUCUGGUAAAAACAGAAGAAUGUGUGUAUGAAGAGCACAAACCACAGUUUAAUAUAGUAGUUUAUAAUACUACUUUAGUCAUUUCUAUAUCUUUCCUUUCUCUGUUGGACUAAACAGUAUUUUCUCUCUGCAGACUGUAUACGAGUGUAAGUGUGAAAUCCUGCACUGAUGUGGUUUCAGCUCUCUGUACAAAUCCAUCACACAUCAGAGAGCUGGAUCUGAGGUGGUGUGAACUAGGAGACUCAGGAGUGGAGAAGCUCUGUGAUCUACUGAAGAAACACGAGUGUAAACUGGAGACACUGCUCUCUCUGUACAAAUCCAUCACACAUCAGAGAGCUGGAUCUGAGUGAGUGUAAACUAGGAGACUCAGGAGUGGAGAAGCUCUGUGAUCUACUGAAGAAACACGAGUGUAAACUGGAGACACUGCGGUUAAUAGAUUGCAGUAUAACAGAUAGACACUGUGCUGCUCUGACUGCUGCACUAAAGUUAAACUCCUCACAUCUGAAAUAUCUGGAUCUGAGGGAGAAUAAACUGGGAAAUUCAGUCACACAACUCGAGGAAUUACUGCAGCGUUCAGGAGGACGACUAGAACAUAACUCCUUCAUCAGUUAAAUUAAACAUUCCUCUGAUGGGAGAAAGGAAGCAGAGUGUAACUGUAAGUUAGGAAGCAGUGUGGAUCAUGAUUAAACCCAGCAGAACCAGAACAGUAGUGAAACGGACACUCAACAAACCCAGAAUUCAGUCUUCAGGAGGUUUAUAUAAGAUCACAGAACAGAAUUGGAGUAAUGAAACCAGUAACACCAGUAAUACACAGAGACUGGAGGCUAAACAGGGGCUACACAAGCUCUCCCACCUCCAGUCCAUAAAACAAAUAGUACUAGAUAAACUUCAAAGAAACUCAUCAAUGUAGGACAGAAGAAGACAAAAGUGUCCUGUGUCCUGUAUGUGACUGUCUCCUAUUUCAGUGAAUUUACUGCUCACUUUCUGAACAAUGAAGUAUUUUAAAAAGUAAGAGUUUGUUUUUGCUCAUGUUCUGGUUUCUGGUGAUUUGUUCCACAGAGUGUCUUUUAACACUAAACCUCUUAUUCAGUAUGAACUGAAAUAAACCUGUUUAUAAAAAAGAAAACUAAAGAAGAGACUGAAUCUGUUGUUAAUUUAUAAAUUAUGCUUUAUAUUCAGUAUCUAUGUAAAUUGUGCUCAUAAGUAAAAUCUUUAUUUACUCUUCAAGACUCAUGUUUUUAUUAA